GUCGUGCAUCCUAAGAGCAGUGUUGUGCUUGCAGCUGGGAGAGGGACACAGUCUUUAGUUUGGCUGAUUAAUACUCCAGGUAAUGGGCACCUCUAAGCUUGGACAUGGGACUUUUACCUGUUAUCUAGUUAUCUAGUGCUUUCUCUUCUUUCUGUAAUUUUCUUUUCUCCCUGCCAAAAUCCAGGUUUCUCUGAGGGUUUAAUUUAUGAUGAGGUAUUUUUUUUGUGCAAGGAACCAAGGACCUGCUACCGCACAAUUGCAGCCAUUGUGCAUUACAUUCUCUGAAUUCUUGCUGUGAAGUCUGCAGGCAGCCAAGCUCGAUGACCAGCUUGUUUUUAGAGGAAUUCCUGCAUCCAAGCACAAUAGGAGAAAAGGACCAGAUUCUCAGCAGCUCUAAUUCCAGCACAGCCCCUGUAAUGUUACCAGGGGUGUAGUAAAGCUGGAUUAAUGUUGUGUUAGGCAUAGGAACACACACAUGCACAAGCACGAUCCUUGAAACAGGUUAUAAUGCAUUUGACCGUCACUGGAAGAAAACAAUACAGGUUCUCCCAUAGAAGAUAUAUUUCAAAGUAUUAAAAAGCUUAACCCUCAGAUUCAAAUAUUCAUUAAGCUCACGUGCAAUUCAGUGUUCAGAGACCUGUCUCUCAGGGACAGAGGAAUACAGAGACACUAUCUCCUCAGCUGUGUAUUAUUACUAUCUGGGCAUUUUCAUUUGGCAGAAUGGAAAGGUAGUAAAAGGAAAUGUUAAAGAGUUCUGGUUAUUUCUUUUUAAAAUUUAUUUCUUUCCUCUAUUUCCUCCAAGGCUCAGACACCUGGGCUAAGCAGUACUAACAAAUCCUCACCCUUCUAGAAGAUUCUUAUAACUGUGAUUCCUGUGCUCCUCCUGAGCCUCAGCCUCUCUCCUUCAGCAGGACUGCUCAAAUGCUGUUUGCCAGGUGUUUUGAGGGAGAGGAAAGACCCAGACAGGAAAUCUCUACUUGAUUUCUGGAUGAAUGGUUCUGCAGAGCAGAGAUUUUUGGAAGACAGAGCAACAGACCCGUCAUCACUUGGUUGAAAUGAGGGAAGUGUGGAAAAGCACUGUCAGGUACAGGACAGGGUGUGCUGGGGGAAAUAGAUUCCAUCCUAAGCUGCACAGGUCAAGGAUGCCUCUGUCUCCCUGCCUUUGCCUUUUGCACUUCAGUGCACAGCACAGUUUAAUUUGCAGGGGCUGGUAUGUGCUAAACAUCUCUAACAACUGUGCAUUUUGUGUGGUGAUGUAGUUGGAUGUUUUUGGAAGUGCUUCUGCAUGUACUUGGUGUUUCAACCCUGCUGUGCUGUGUGAAGAUGCACAUUUUGGGAUUUGUGUCUGCCUGAACUGUCCAUGCAAAAAGCUACCCCUGAAGGUGGAUGUGAGGAUGCAGUUCCAUGAGACUUUAAGCUCUUGAAUGCACAGAGGUUACUGAGUGCACUCAGGAGCUGCUGAAUGAGAAGUCAGAGAUACCCAAACUCAUUACCAGGCAGAACAUGGUGGGAGAAACCUUUCCUUCCGACAGAGCCAUCCCAUGUCUUAUCCCACCACUGGGAUGUGUGAAUUCCAGCUGUGGCAACAGCUGUAGGAGUUUGUAAAAGACCACCUGAGGACUCUAAAAUCAACUGCAAUCAAGGGCUUGUUUUCUUUUGAGCUACUUCCAUCUCCCAAAUUAAAAUCAAUGCAGAGGAAGAGGGAGUGAGGGAACAGCGCUCAGCAAACAGGUUUCCCCCUCAGAGAGGUGAUUUUCUGCAACCCUGGCAAAUGGGAUCUGCAGAAAACCUAAAUCAUUCUGCAGUGUUGGGCAAUAUGUCUGUCAUUACAGACUGGCGAUAUCUGGCAUGGACAGAGCACAGAGCAACUCCCCAUUAGCUGGACAUUUUUAGGAAUUCUUAUUCCGAGAAGUUUUGAAGUUUUGAGUUUUUCAGCUUGUAGGAAGGCCCCGUUGUUGCAUGACUGCCCUUCUGGAACAGAGAGCUCUUCCUGGUAUUUUUUGGUGCCUGCUGGGAUGCUGGCUGGCUCCCUGUGCCAGCAGCCUAGGUGCUGGGGAGAGAUGCAUACUCUCUCCCUGUAUCUGAUGAUUUCAGGCUCCUGAAUCAGUGUAGGUCUGGGAAGAAGAGGUGUCACAUCACAGAAGGGCUGAAAAAAAGGACAAUCUUUAUUUUAAGUUCACAGCAAUGUUGAAUGGAACAGGGAGUAGGGCCCAGACUCUGCUGCAAAGCAGCUCUGGUUGCAUGAGAGUAGAGUCCAACAGGGAAGCCUCUCCAUCAGGCUUUAACCCACUGUGCUUUGUGUGGCCUGUGAGUGCCAUGCAGUGCUGCAGCCACUUCUCCCCAUCACUGUUUGGAAGCACAGCACUGGGUUUUCCAGGGCUGCACUUCCCUGGUGUCAUCCCAUCCUGUUGUAGUCUCCCUCUGUGCUGCUCUUCCCAUCAGCUCUUGACCCCUGUGAGGAGGUGAUUAGGUCUCAAAGAAGAUCAGAUGAUGGAAACCAAUUUUAGAGUGGAGAACAAGAAAAAAAAUCAUUAUGGGAAGGGCUGCCAAACACUGACAGGCUGCCCAAGGCAGUGAUGGAGCCCCCAUUCCUGGAAGAUUUAAACGCUGUGUGGAUGUGGCAGUUGGGGACAUGGGUUAAUGGCAAGUUUAGCAGUGCUGGGAGAAUGGUUGGACUUGAGGAUCUUAUAGGGCUUCUACAGUCUAAAGGAUUCUGUGCUUCUGUGAAUCAGGAGAGAAACUCCAGCAACGAGGAUGCUCCAGUGCAGGUGUCAGCGUGGCUCUGACGUCUGCUACAAAUGUCCGCUGGGAAAGCAAAUCCCUUCCCUCCACAUUCCCUCCGUGCAGCUUUGCUAAUUAUUCAUGAGGAGUCAUUACCAGGUAGCUCAUCCUGGAGCCACCAAUACCCAAGCUAAGACAUCUAAAGGGCUUGCCCCAGUUUUUCUGUAUGAGGCACCUAUGUCUAUGGGAGAAGAGUUGAGAACCUCCUCUCAAAGAGCAAAGUUGCCUUUUUAUUUUUCUUUUAGGGGGUAUGGAGCAAAUGUAAGAGUAAUAAAAAUAAUAUUUGAAGCAAUAAAUGGAACUGCAUAGUGUGUAUACUAUUUUUUACUUUGAGUUGCACUUAUAACAGAAUUGUUUUAAUUCACUGUCUCUCUUGCAAUUCCUUCACUUUGCUAAUUCUUUUCUGCUUUUUAAUUUUUUAAACCAAAUUUUUAGAAGGUUGGUUUUUUUCAUGUGCUAUGGCUAGGCCAAGUGUUGGUUUGUACAGGAACAUUUAUUUCAUGCUACUUAAGGAGGAGGCGAGCUGGGUGGAGUGAUGGCUCUAACUGUAGAAGAGACCUUUUUUUUCUCCUUUAAUGGUCAUACUUGUUUUAUGUUAGAUCUCUGGGAGCUGUCGCAAAA